GAGUCUAGCAUGUGCGCGAGUCAUUGGGACCCGUACGAAACCUAAAGGCUUAAUGAAAGUGAAGGUUCGCCUCGCGCGAACCGAGGGAGGAUGGACGAUCGCACAAGGUCGUCCCGCACUCCCUGGGCGUCUCGUUCUCAUCGCGAGAAGAGGCGCACCAAGAGCGUACACGCUGGGACCCGAAAGAUGGUGAACUAUGCCUGGUCAGGACGAAGUCAGGGGAAACCCUGAUGGAGGUCCGUAGCGAUUCUGACGUGCAAAUCGAUCGUCGGAACUGGGUAUAGGGGCGAAAGACUAAUCGAACCAUCUAGUAGCUGUUCCCCUUCCGAA
rnacentral:rRNA from 1 species